UACGUAGGGGGCAAGCGUUGUCCGGAUUUAUUGGGCGUAAAGAGCGUGUAGGCGCCAGACAGGUCCGUUGUGAAAACUCGAGGCUCAACCUCGAGAUGUCGAUGGAAACCGUCUGGCUAGAGUCCGGAAGAGGAGUGUGGAAUUCCUGGUGUAGCGGUGAAAUGCGCAGAUAUCAGGAAGACACCUAUGGCGAAGGCAGCACUCUGGGACGGUACUGACGCUGAGACGCGAAAAGCGUGGGGAGCGAACAGG
rnacentral:rRNA from 1 species